GUGGGACCGACGCUGAGUUUCCGCGGGUUCGGGCUCUGGAAGGGCUCGCGCUGGGGCUACCUCCGGAUUUGCAUUCUUUCACCUUGUUGGUCACACUCUAGUUCCCAAACGAUAGAGGGGGAAAGAGAAAAACAUCCAUGUGAGAGAGGCAC